UUUCCCUAGGCCUCGGCCUAGGAACUGACUCGCGCCACAACGACGUGGAACAUUUCCACGCGAAGGCGAGGGGGAGCCCGGGAGGGAGGUGUGUGCGAUUCGUGCGGCGGCGGCACACUAGGGCGACACCUGCGACUCCUCUCCGCCCCCUACGUAGGAGGAGGUGAGAGUUUUUGGCGGACUGCAACAUCUACCUCGUUAGGGCAGCCGCUUGGAUUCGUUGUACAGCCGCCCGGAUUCGCAGGGGCAGUCGCUCAGAUUCGCUGGGAGUUCUCCGCCUGCAAUGUAUUCAAGUCAAGACAUGUUCUGGUGUACAAUGUACUCAGGUCAAGACGUGUAUUUGGCAAAUUGGAAUUGACAAACUACUAUUUUUUGGCUUUUGAUACUAAUUUCAGAUGUGCAUAAUUCAUUUUUUUGUCCUUGCUGCUUUCACACAUGAAUCUCUCUGAAGUUGUCCCUAAAAGGCUCUACCACCAGCUUGCAACAUUGGUAUUGAUCAUUCUAACAAAAUAUAUUCCACUGAACUUGAGAAGAUGCCUACUUAAUUUUCUUGUCUCUGUACUUGCGGUUGCCGAUCGAAAAUCUGCAUCAGCAAACUUAUGAGUAUUAUUGCUAGAGUUGCUGCAGAUACUUAUGAGUAUUAGUAUAUGUGCUUCUGCAUCACCUAUGGUUCUACAAAUGUAAGAGCUAGGAUAGUAAAUGCACUUGGAGGUGGACAAGAGAAAAAAACAAAGCUUGACUGCUUGUGUUGAUCAUUUCUGUUGUUGAGCCAACUUUGAGGUCAACACAAUGACAAUUCUAUGUUGUUGAGCAAACUAUUCAGAAGACAAUAUACUAAAAGAUGAAAGCUUUGAAAAAUUUCUCUUAGAAAUAGGUCAUAUAUGCAACAUGGGAUAUGCACAAUGUUGUGGUUCACUUUUUAAGAUAUGCUCUAUUGUAUAUUCAACCAAGCCUGAAGAAUAAUUAUAGAC